GAGAGUAGCUCCAUUAACGGGACGCCCCAUGUCUUCUUGCUUUUUGAGUAUGUUCGUUCUUUGCAGUGUUCGUUCACUGCCCGAUGAUCAAAACCAAUCCAGCAUUACGGUCGAUUAUAUAGCCAACACAUAAUUAAACUACUUUAAUCUUUGCAUUAACUUACUUCAACCACUAACUCCUACUCUACUUACUCACUGCAUUUAAUUUCCUAAAUCCUUUCGCGAUUUCCACUCCACAUGUUUUCUAGUAACAAAUCUAAAUAAUAC
rnacentral:lncRNA from 1 species